ACACAGAUAGCUCAGUUGGUAGAGCAUGAGACUCUUAAGCUCCAGGUCGUGGGUUUGAGCCCCACGUUGGGCA